rnacentral:rRNA from 1 species
AGAGUUUGAUUCUGGCUCAGAACGAACGCUGGCGGCGUGCUUAACACAUGCAAGUCGUGCGUGAAAGCUCUUCGGAGUGAGUAGAGCGGCGAACGGGUGAGUAAUACAUAGGAACGUACCUUUUGGUGGGGGACAACCACGGGAAACUGUGGCUAAUACCGCAUGACCUCGAAAGAGAAAAGAUGGCCUCUACUUGUAAGCUAUCGCCGUUAGAGCGGCCUAUGUCCCAUUAGCUAGUUGGUGAGGUAAAGGCUCACCAAGGCAACGAUGGGUAGCUGGUCUGAGAGGAUGAUCAGCCACACUGGGACUGAGACACGGCCCAGACUCCUACGGGAGGCAGCAGUGGGGAAUAUUGCACAAUGGGCGCAAGCCUGAUGCAGCAACGCCGCGUGAGUGAAGAAGGCCUUCGGGUUGUAAAGCUCUUUCGGCUAGGAAGAAGGGCUAUGUAGCUAAUAUCUGCAUAGUUUGACGGUACUAGAAGAAGAAGCACCGGCUAAUUCCGUGCCAGCAGCCGCGGUAAUACGGAAGGUGCAAGCGUUGUUCGGAAUGACUGGGCGUAAAGCGCGCGUAGGCGGACUUGAAAGUCAGCUGUGAAAUCCCAGGGCUUAACCCUGGAAUUGCAGUUGAAACUCCAAGUCUUGAAUGCCUGAGAGGAUGGCGGAAUUCCGGGUGUAGGAGUGAAAUCCGUAGAGAUCCGGAGGAACACCAGAGGCGAAGGCGGCUAUCUGGCGGCGCAUUGACGCUGAGGCGCGAAAGCGUGGGGAGCAAACAGGAUUAGAUACCCUGGUAGUCCACGCCGUAAACGAUGGAUACUAGACGUUCGGAGAGUUAACCCUCUGAGUGUCGCAGCUAACGCAAUAAGUAUCCCGCCUGGGGAGUACGGUCGCAAGGCUAAAACUCAAAGAAAUUGACGGGGGCCCGCACAAGCGGUGGAGUAUGUGGUUUAAUUCGAAGCAACGCGCAGAACCUUACCUACCCUUAACAUCCCAAGACAACCCUAGAGAUAGGGCUUUCCCUUCGGGGACUUGGAGAUAGGUGCUGCAUGGCUGUCGUCAGCUCGUGCCGUAAGAUGUUCGGUUAAGUCCGGCAACGAGCGCAACCCUUACCUUUAGUUGCUACCAUUAAGUUGAGAACUCUAGAGGGACUUCCGGUGUUAAGCCGGAGGAAGGCGGGGAUGACGUCAAGUCCUCAUGGCCCUUACGGGUAGGGCUACACACGUACUACAAUGGAGGAUUCAAAGUGCCGCAAAACCGCGAGGUUGAGCUAAUCACAAAAAAACCAUCUCAGUCCGGAUUGAAGUCUGCAAUUCGACUUCAUGAAGUUGGAAUCGCUAGUAAUCGCAGAUCAGCACGCUGCGGUGAAUACGUUCCCGGGCCUUGUACACACCGCCCGUCACACCACGAGAGUGAUCAUAACCAGAAGCAGGUGAGCUAACUUCGGGGGCAGCCUACCAAGGUUGUGGUCGUGAUUGGGGUGAAGUCGAAACAAGGUAGCCGUAGGGGAACCUGCGGCUG